rnacentral:lncRNA from 1 species
GAAUCAUGCAAUAUAGGAGGAACAGAGGCAGUAGCAGUUUAAACUUAAGUUUUCCUGCUGUAUGCUAAAUAGAAGAAAGCACUCAAAGGAUUUGAUGUUGUGGCAGGAGGGAGUUCUAAAUUGUUGAUCCUUCUCUCCUCAAUUGCCUUUUCUUUUCUUAGCUGUCACCUCCUAGGGUCUGCAGACUUGUGCCUAUGUCCCCUCCCUUUGGAAUUACCACCCUUCUCACAAGGAUUUUCUCCCUUGGUUCUUUCUCAUGCCUUGUAAGCCCCUUAGAAACUUGACACCAAUAGAGAUUCUCACUGCUUAGGUAUUUUGGCUUCAGAACAGAAUGGGAUAAAGUAAAAUCUAAUCUUGUUAAUGAAGGCUCCAAUUCCAAUCUUCCCUUUAGCGAGGGCUGCUACUGAUUUCCUACCUAGUUUACUUAAGGAGCAAGAGAGCACUGACAACAUUUUUCUUAUUACAGCAACAUGGCUAACAGAGGUAUGUAGAAAUUAUAUUCUAGUUCUGUGUGUAAAUAUAUGGCCAAGACAAUUUAAAAUGUGGGAGUGACUAAUGACAAGCAUUAUGAAAACAGUGCUUACGAGUCGUGGGUAUGUGUUUAAAUAAGUUCCCCAAAAUGACUGAAAUGGGUCAAACAAUGGUAUAAUCAGACAAAAAGCACAUAAAUAUAACAGAAAUUCCAGCAGCACCUGUUAACCCAGCAGCUCCUGGACAAACAUUAAUGGUUGCCCAUCAAUCUAAAAUCAUAUCUGUGUGAAAGAAGUGGUGGGAGAUUAAGACUAGAGAGGAUUGCUAGUGAGCUUGCAAAUGUUCUGUGAAGACAGAAGGACAAGCACCAACAAAAUCCCAAGACUAGAAGAUGGAUAAAAACUAGACUUUCCCAAGGAUGUCUUCACAAGAAAAAAACAGCAGUUUCCUGAGCAGAACAACUAGCUACAGCAUCUUCUACGGGAGGACUGGCAGCAGCAGCAUCCAGGCAAGGAAUGGCACCAUCUGGAGUGAUAGUCACAUGGGAAUACAUGUGCAUCAUUCAUCAGGAAUCAGCUACAGUCUUAAAGAGCUUGUUACUUAUGCAGACUCCCAGCCUCACCCAGAGAACGCCUGAUUCAGUGGGAAUGUUUUAACAAGCAUCCCAGAUGAUUCAAAUGCUUUGAGAAAUACUGCUUCAGUGAAUGAAAGAACUCUGCAAGAAGUCAGCUUGAAUAGAUCAUGCCUUUAAAAGUAAUCACUUAUAUGGGUAAGAGGUUGCUUUCUGGAUUUUGAUGGUUGUGUAGGCCUUCGGGAAGGGGCAGUGGCAUUAGAGAGGAACUGGUGGGCUCUGUCUGCUAAUACCAAUGAGCUGCUGGUGGGGGAAUGCUGCAGGCAUCUGGAAAACUCAAGGAAAGGCAUUGCCUAGGAGAGGGCAUCAAAGGAGUUGGGGACGGAGGCCAAGGGUUUUAGUCCAGAGGAUACCACUGAUGGCCACAUAAUGGCCAGAGAAUAGAGAUACCUGCCUCUCCGUAAUGACAUGAGGAUCUCAAGUGAUACUUGACAGGCUCAUGAUCACCAUAGGCAGGUGGCAGAUCUAAUAUGUAUUUGUGUUUUUUUCUGACCUUUGUUAAAUUUGGCUUGUACCCCCCCCCCCCCCCAAAACACACACACACUUCUAUGGUCUUUUAUAAUUGUCCAUUCCAACUCAGGGCCUAUCACAUCAAGGCCAAAGAAAAAUGGCCUUUAUAAGUGGUCCCCUGGACACCUACUUGGCUCAGUAAUUACUUAACCAAGUAUGUGUUACAGGAGGGACUUUGCAUGCUGCUGCUGGGGCUGCUGAGAUGAAGUCUGGUGUCUGUCAUCGAUAGUUUAACUGCUAGCAAAGGAAAUGGACAUACAAAUCCUUACCCAAUGGGGUGAAGAGAGGCCAAAGUCUUGGAAAACUUUAUACGAAAAAGAAAAAAGAUUACAAAGAGUUUGGACCUCUGGGUGGGAACUCUAGGUGUGCUUCAUGGAGGGAGUAGCAUUUGAGUUGGCCUUUGAGAUGGAUGUUUCUGUUUCUGGAUGUGGCCUUCAGGAUUUCCAGCUUGUUUAGGGGGCAAGGGGAUUGGGGUCUCUCUGUACAAAUAACUAACUUCAAUCAGUGGUCUUGGAACUGACAGGAGGUUCCUGACCUGACUUCUAGUGCUGAGUAGGGGCCAAAAUCCACCAUCUGAAAAACCCUAAACCUCUACAGGGCAAAGCUUGCUACCAAAUACAAUUUGGGGGAUGCCUGGGUGACUUAGAGGUUGAGAGUCUGCCUUUGACUCAGGGUGUGAUCCUGGGAUCCGGGAUCAAGUCCCACAUCGGGUUCCUUGCAGGGAGCUUGCU